UACGGAGGGUGCGAGCGUUGUCCGGAAUCAUUGGGCGUAAAGGGCGCGUAGGUGGCCCGGUCAGUCUUUGGUGAAAGCGCGGGGCUCAACCCUGCGUCGGCCAGGGAUACUGCCGCGGCUCGAGCACUGUAGAGGCAGGCGGAAUUCCGGGUGUAGCGGUGGAAUGCGUAGAGAUCCGGAGGAAGACCGGUGGCGAAAGCGGCGCACUGGACCACAACUGACGCUGAGGCGCGAAAGCUAGGGGAGCAAACAGGG
rnacentral:rRNA from 1 species